rnacentral:rRNA from 1 species
AGCGAACGCUGGCGGCAGGCUUAACACAUGCAAGUCGAACGGGCGUAGCAAUACGUCAGUGGCAGACGGGUGAGUAACGCGUGGGAACGUACCUUUUGGUUCGGAACAACCCAGGGAAACUUGGGCUAAUACCGGAUAAGCCCUUACGGGGAAAGAUUUAUCGCCGAAAGAUCGGCCCGCGUCUGAUUAGCUAGUUGGUGAGGUAACGGCUCACCAAGGCGACGAUCAGUAGCUGGUCUGAGAGGAUGAUCAGCCACAUUGGGACUGAGACACGGCCCAAACUCCUACGGGAGGCAGCAGUGGGGAAUAUUGGACAAUGGGCGCAAGCCUGAUCCAGCCAUGCCGCGUGAGUGAUGAAGGCCCUAGGGUUGUAAAGCUCUUUGUGCGGGAAGAUAAUGACGGUACCGCAAGAAUAAGCCCCGGCUAACUUC